GGUGAAGGUGAUAAGGGCACGCAGUGGAUGCCUAGGCGGCAGGAGGCGAAGAAGGGCGUGGCAAGCUGCGAAAAGCCUGGGGGAGCUGCAAGCGAGCGAUGAUCCCGGGAUUCCCGAAUGGGGCAACCUGGGUAGCCGUUGAGGCUACUCGCCCGCAAGGGUGCGAACCGGGGGAAGUGAAACAUCUCAGUACCCCGAGGAAAAGAAAUCAAACGAGAUUCCCUGAGUAGAGGCGAUCGAAAGGGGAGGAGCCUAAACCAACGUGUAAUACACGUUGGGGUUGUGGGACAAGUCCGGGCGAAAGCCGGGAAGUUACAAAUCCUUACUCUAGCCGAAUGGUCUGGGAAGGCCAACCGGAGAGGGUGAAAGUCCCGUAGGCGAAAGGGUAAGGACUUCCUGGGGCUUGAUCCCGAGUACCACGGGACACGAGGAAUCCCGUGGGAAUCAGGGGGGACCACCCUCCAAGGCUAAAUACUCCCUGCCGACCGAUAGCGCAACCAGUACCGUGAGGGAAAGGUGAAAAGCACCCCGGAAGGGGAGUGAAAGAGACCUGAAACUGCGUGCCUACAAGAAGUCGGAGCCUGCUUAAGCGGGUGACGGCGUGCCUUUUGAUUAAUGAGCCUGGGAGUUGUCGUAUCUGGCGAGGUUAAGCCGGGAGAGGUGGAGCCGAAGCGAAAGCGAGUCCGAAAAGGGCGAUUAGUCAGAUGCGACAGGCCCGAAGCCGGGUGAGCUACCCAUGGCCAGGGUGAAGGUAGGGUAAAACCUACUGGAGGCCCGAACCGGUGGAUCGUGAGACAUCCUCGGAUGAGCUGUGGGUAGGAGUGAAAAGCUAACCGAACCCGGUGAUAGCUGGUUCUCCCCGAAAUGCAUUUAGGUGCAGCCUCGAGAGGUCUGUACUGGGGGUAGAGCACUGAUAGGGCUAGGGGGGCGACCUCCAACCCCUGUCAAACUCCGAAUCCCGGUACACAAAUCUCGGGAGUGAGCCUGUGGGGGAUAAGCUCCACAGACGAGAGGGGAACAACCCAGACCGUCGGCUAAGGGCCCGGAGAGAUGGCUAAGUGUGGAAGGAUGUUGUGCGUCUUAGACAACCGGGAUGUUGGCUUAGAAGCAGCCAUCAUUUAAAGAGUGCGUAACAGCUCACCGGUCGAGACGCACAGCGCCGAAAAUGUAACGGGGCUGAAGCCAUCCCCCGAAGCCGCGGAUCAGCCGUAAGGCUGGUGGUAGGGGAGCGUUCCGCGGUAGGGUGAAGGCAGACUCGCGAGAGCUGCUGGACGAGGCGGAAGUGAGAAUCCAGGCAUGAGUAAGCGAGAGGAGAGUGAGAAUCUCUCCCCCCGAAAGCCUAAGGGUACCUGGGGAAGGGUCGUCCGCCCAGGGUUAGUCGGGACCUAAGGUGAACCCGAGAGGGGUAGCCGAUGGGAAACCGGUUAAUAUUCCGGUACCACCUGUAUAUCUACAGUAUGGGGGGUGACGCAGGAGGGUAGGCGCCGAGGUCAAGUGGCAAGGCCUUCCAAGCGGUUAGGCGAAGAGGCUGGUAGGCAAAUCCGCCAGCUGAGCUGAGCCGUGAAGGGGAGGACCGAAUGGUCCAACGGAGCUGACCCCACACUGCCGAGAAAAACCUCGCAUACUGAUAUACAGGUGCCCGUUCCGCAAACCGACACAGGUAGGCGGGCUGAGAAAGCUAAGGGGAGCGGGUUAACCCUUGCCAAGGAACUCGGCAAAUUGACCCCGUAACUUCGGGAGAAGGGGUGCCGCGGUAGGUUGAACCCAGGGGAAAGGGCAACCUGGAAACUGGGGGAGGCCGAGGCGGUUGCAGUGACAAGGCCCUGGCGACUGUUUACCAAAAACACAGGUCUCUGCGAACUCGUAAGAGGAAGUAUAGGGACUGACGCCUGCCCAGUGCCGGAAGGUUAAGGGGAGGUGUGAAAGCACCGAACCGAAGCCCCGGUAAACGGCGGCCGUAACUAUAACGGUCCUAAGGUAGCGAAAUUCCUUGUCGGGUAAGUUCCGACCUGCAUGAAUGGCGUAACGACUGGGGCACUGUCUCGGCAGGGGACCCGGCGAAAUUUCAAUCUGGGUGAAGAUGCCCAGUACCCGCAGCUAGACGGAAAGACCCCGUGGAGCUUUACUGCAGCCUGGUAUUGGGCUUUGGUGCAUCGUGUACAGGAUAGGUGGGAGGCGAAGAACCCGGCUCGCCAGGGUCGGGGGAGCCGUCGGUGGGAUACCACCCUCGGUGUACCGGAGUUCUAACCUUAGACUGUGAAGAGCAGUCGAGGGACAGUGCCAGGUGGGUAGUUUGACUGGGGCGGUCGCCUCCUAAAGAGUAACGGAGGCGCGCAAAGCUCGGCUCAGGUGGGUUGGAAAUCCACCGAAGAGUGCAAGGGCAUAAGCCGGGCUGACUGCGAGACCGACGGGUCGAGCAGAGGGGAAACCCGGUCCUAGUGACCCGGCGACUCCGAGUGGAAGGGUCGUCGAUCAACGGACAAAAGUUACCCCGGGGAUAACAGGCUAGUCUUGCCCGAGAGUUCACAUCGACGGCAAGGAUCGGCACCUCGAUGUCGGCUCAUCCCAUCCUGGGGCUGAAGCAGGUCCCAAGGGUUAGGCUGUUCGCCUAUUAAAGGGGUACGUGAGCUGGGUUCAGACCGUCGUGAGACAGGUCGGUCCCUAUCUGCUGCGGGCGUAGGAGGUUUGAGGGGGCUCGCCCAUUGUACGAGAGGACCUGGGUGAGGGAGCCACUGGUGUACCGGCUGUCCUGCCAAGGGCAUACGCCGGGUAGCUACGCUCCUAAGUGAUAACCGCUGAAAGCAUCUAAGCGGGAAACACGCCCCAAGAUGAGACCUCCCAUCCCGAUAAGGGAGUAAGGCCGGUUCGAGAAGAGGACCUUGAUAGGCCGGUGGUAGAAGCGCAGCAAUGCGUGGAGCCAACCGGUACUAAUCGGCCGAGGCCUUCACCUC
rfam:Thermosipho africanus TCF52B, complete genome.